GCAUGCUACAAACAAUUUCAUCUGCCAUGCUGAAGGGAAAAAUGGGAUCGAAGAAACAGAAGGAACAGGGAAACACAGCAGCAUGCUACAGAGCAGUCUAGAGAAUUAAACAAGGCUUGAAUAGCCCGAAAACAUACAGUCUCACAGCUUGUCAAGCACAUAUCCUGAAAAGAAAUGCUUGGAAUCAAUUUAUGUUAUCAUUUGCUUAUUUUAAAUUUUCUUGUCUUGUAAUAGCUAAUGAUGCAAUCCAUCUUUUUUCUCUUAUCUAAGACCAUCUAGAUUGUCACCUCAUUUAUUUAUUUAUUUGUGCACUGCACUGUCUGUGAUAGUUAAACUAUUUAUCGUACAACAAAAAUCCUUAUACACUCUGUUUGCAUUGACGAAAUCUGUGGCAGCUGUGUUGUGAUCAUUGUGUGCCUCUAAAAGCCUCCAGCCAGUUUGACAUAGAUUGGCAAUAUCUGACUUCGAAGGACUGGUGGUAACGAGGGGUGGAGGAAUCAAUUCCUCAUUGCUCUGUAAGAAGGAAAAUAGAAGUACUGAGCUGGGUCUAGACUACUUCUGCCACUAUGGAUUUACUGCACAUUGUGAUACAAUUAUCUAUAGGCAGGAAUUCAGCUUGCUGAUGAAAAACAGCAGCAGAGGACUGAAUAAACCACCUCUAACACUGAAGAACAAUGGAUUAACCAUUGCAAGGAUUUCACUCCACAAUAAGGUACCAGCUUGCUGUCCAGCAAGCCAAUCUCAUUCCAUAUUGAUCUGUGGUGAGACAAAAGGAUAGAAGAAAGCAAAAAUAAAAGAAAAAGAAUGGUAGCCA
rnacentral:lncRNA from 1 species